rnacentral:rRNA from 1 species
UACGGGGGGGGCAAGCGUUGUUCGGAAUUACUGGGCGUAAAGGGCUCGUAGGUGGCCAACUAAGUCAGACGUGAAAUCCCCAGGCUUAACCUGGGAACUGCGUCUGAUACUGGAUGGCUUGAAUUCGGGAGAGGGAUGCAGAAUUCCAGGUGUAGCGGUGAAAUGCGUAGAUAUCAAGUGGAACACCAGUGGCGAAGGCGAGUCCCUGGACAAUACCUGACACUGAGGCACGAAAGCUAGGGGAGCAAACAGG